rnacentral:rRNA from 1 species
CAGUCGUACUAACGGGAAAUCAACCUAUUUGAGUUUGUGAGGUUUGGAUUCCGAAGGGUGUAAACCUUCGGGUUCGAAUAUUUGCUGCUUUUUAGGCGUAAUUUCUCGUUCGGUAGGUUAACAUCGAUUUUGAAGAUUAUAAAAUGGUUGGAGGAAUGUAGUUUCGAUCUCGUAUUGAAGUGUUAUAGCCUUCGGCAGAUGUGAUGAUCGAGAUUGAGGGUUGCAACGGAUACCCGUUCGGGGCUACCUGUCUGAUCUCUGA